UCUCGGUCUCCGCCCCCUCGCGCAGAGGAGGCCUCGCCGCUUUAAGAGCCGGGGUAGAGAUUGACAAGCAAUAAACGCGGAGCGCGGGGCUGCGCUGGAGCCGCACGGAGCUAGGGGCUGCCCGGGGCGCAGGAGAGACAUUUCAGGGCCCUUGCAGACCUCACCAUGCCAGUUGCUGCCACCAACUCUGAGUCUGCCAUGCAGCAAGUCCUGGACAACCUCGGAUCGCUCCCCAAUGCCACGGGGGCUGCAGAACUGGACCUGAUCUUUCUUCGAGGCAUUAUGGAAAGUCCCAUAGUGAGAUCCCUGGCCAA